rnacentral:rRNA from 1 species
GGUGGAUGCCUUGGCGAUUACAGGCGAUGAAGGACGUGGUAGCCUGCGAAAAGCUACGGGGAGCUGGCAAACGAGCUUUGAUCCGUAGAUGUCCGAAUGGGGAAACCCGGCGCGCAAGCGUCACUCCCACCUGAAUAUAUAGGGUGGGUAGAGCGAACGCAGCGAACUGAAACAUCUAAGUAGCUGCAGGAAAAGAAAUCAACCGAGAUUCCCAAAGUAGUGGCGAGCGAAAUGGGAAGAGCCUGUAUGUGAUAGUCAACUGGUUAGUGGAACGGAAUGGAAAGUCCGGCGAUAGAGGGUGAUAGCCCCGUACACGAAAACUGGUUGGUGGUACUGAGCAUACGACAAGUAGGGCGGGGCACGAGAAACCCUGUCUGAACAUGGGGGGACCAUCCUCCAAGGCUAAAUACUCGUAAUCGACCGAUAGUGAACCAGUACCGUGAGGGAAAGGCGAAAAGAACCCCGGAGGGGAGUGAAAUAGAACCUGAAACCGUGUGCAUACAAACAGUAGGGAGCCCCUUCGUGGGUGACUGCGUACC